UUACUACGAGGCUUGGAUUUGGAAGCUGCUGGCGCAAGUCGGCUCUUCUUAAAUAUAUUAGCUACUUGUCCGUGGGUUGGCUCAGAGUGUGAUAAGUAUCUACACUCGGUGGCUGCCUGCAUUGGAUGUAGCUUCUAAUCGUCUUCGGACAACUUUUAAGAUCUGGCCUCAAAUCAGGUAGGACUACCCGCUGAACUUAA
rnacentral:misc_RNA from 1 species